rnacentral:lncRNA from 1 species
UUCUGUUAGACUCAAAUAAUAAUAAUCUUUCUAAAACACACAAAGUAGCUGUCACAUAAUGAGGUCAGCUGUGAGUUUGCUCAUUUCAGAACUCUUCUAAAAUAAGAAAUCCACUUAAAAUAGCUUUAUACUUUCCAAAGCAUAUAAUAUUUCAACAAUAUUUGAAAGAACUCAAUGAAUGAACAAAUAAUAUUAAAUCUUGAACAUUUUUGAAUUUAUAGUUCAGAGUAAUAUAGUAAAUAUUUCAAGAAUUAUUUUUUAAAUCCAAAUUUUAAUGAUGUUUUCAUUAUAAUUUUCUACUCAUUUGGCUUAAUUUCCCUGCAAGCCUGAGAGGAACUGAUUCUGAGAUGCUGUAUUCAUAAUCCCACACAUUCUUAAAUCAUUCUUUAAUGAUAUAAGGAGACAUGUAUUUGUUCACAUUUCUCCAGACAAAGAAAAUGGAAAUAAGGAUUGCCAUAUCAGGGUGGAGGAUUAUAAUAAGCCAUUUUCCAAAAAUUUUUCCAUUUGGGUAAGGGCUUUAAAUUGUAUAUUUUAUCAAUGCUAUUAACAUAUUGUCUUAAUAUUUUACAGAGUCUUUUUAAAUGUUAACUUACUGUGAGUCUUAUAACCACUCUAUGACAUAUGCAGGACAGAAAUUCUCAUCAUCUCCUUGCCCCCACUGCAUCCUAUUUUGAAAAAGAAAAGCCCGAAAUUUAGAAAAAGUUGGGUUCUCUAGAAGAGAUGCUGAGACAGACUAUUGGGAUGUAAGAUGUUUAGUAGGGAUCACACCUACAAAGAUAAAUGGGAGGAAGUAAGAUUAGAUAGAAAAAAACUGCAAUGCAAACCCAACAAAAGCUUAUCCAACCUAGCAGGGAGCUAGAGUAUACAUUGCCUAUGAGAGUGUCCUGUGUUGGCCUGAAAUGGCCGGGUCCAUUUCAAGGCAUAAACUAAAUGUCAUUCUGUCCCUCCAAGAGUGUGGCCUUAACCAGAUAGCUCUCAGCAGCUGAGUUGGAUCCUGAAGGGCUGAUGUUGGAGGCUGUCUGUGGAUCCCACUCUCUACAGGUAGUAGCCAGUCCUUCUUGAAGCGGGUUUUGGAGGGCACAUCUCCAGGUCUAUUACACAUAUCAACACAAGUUCUCUGUGAUUCCCUUGGUCUUUCUCUUAUGUUCAAGCAAUGACUCAUGAAGUUUCAAGUAUUACAUGCCAUUCAAAGCACAGAGGGACAGAAGGAGUAGUAGGGUUGUUUCAUUCUGUUCAGGCUGCUGUAACAUACACUGGGUGGCUUAUGAACAACAAAUAUGUAUUGCUCACAAUUCUGGAGGGUGGAAAGUCCAAGAUGAAGGUGGCUGCAGAUUCAGUGUCUGGUGAGGACCUGUUUCCUCAUAUCACCUUCUCUCUGUGUCCCAUAUGAAGAAAGGAGCAAGCUAACUCUGGGGUCUUUUUUAUCCAGGCACUAAUCCCAUUCAUAAGAGCAGAGCCUCAUGACAGAAUCAUCUCCCAAAGGCCCCACCUUCUAACGCCAUCACCUUAAGGGGUAGGAUUUCAACAUGUGAAUUGGUGAGGGGUGACACAGACGUUCAGACCCUAGCAAAUGUCUAGCCCCUUUAUCAGGAAAUUGAAAGCUUUCCUGGAAACCAUUGAGUCGAUUUUGCUUAUGUCUCACCAGAAAGUUAUCACGUGAUUAAUCAAGCUACAGGUAACUAGUUAGUAUCUCUAGUCUCUACAGUAGGAAAAUAAAAGGAAAAGGGGAUUGGGAAUAGAUGUGGUUUUUCAACCAUGAAGGCCUUUGCCACUCACUUUACUAAUCACCUAAAAUGUCUGCCAGUUACUUUGUCAGAUGCUAAACUGUCAAAUUCCACAAAAAUGUUGCCAAAUCAGUAUUAGUAUUUCUAAUUCUAAAAGCCUUGAAACUAAAUCCUUGCUUUUCCUUAUACUUUAUUGACAUUUUUCCUCAGUCAUCAUAUGACACCCAGAAUUAAGAGUCUUAGGCUUUCAAGAAUUCACCGAAGCAGCAGAAAUGGGUAGUUUAUGGCAACAUAAAUGGAGUUCAAUUUAAGAGUAGGCGUACACUUUUAUUGGAAAAAGAUGGCAUUUACCGAGUUAUUUUUAUUUUUCCUUUGAGGUUAAAAUAAGUUUUUUUCUCUAUCUUGGGAAUAUAUAGUCAGGCAACUCACAAAUGUGACAUGAACUGAAGGAUACAGGGGCUAUAAUUCGCAUCAAAGCGAAACCAACAGGACUUCUGUCAUCUCCUCUUCAAAGCAAUAUUAUCCUAAGGGAUGUGAUAUUUCACUGUAAACCAAGAAAUUCAUGCUCAAACAUGCAGCUGCUAGCUCAAAAUUUAACAUAAAAAGCUUUAAAAGGAAGAAAAAGAGAGAAAGCAGGUGAGAAGGAAGCCAAACCAACUCUCCAAGAAUUUGCUUGCUCUUAAGUAGCAUCCUUAGCCCAUCAUUGUCUCAGACACUGUGCUAAUAAAUAAAAAUGAAGAUAAGUAAUGGCCUAAUGAAUCACAGUAAUACAUGUUAUUAAAUCAAUAGGUCAGAACUGAAAAUAAGACCUAUGCUUUCACAAUUGCUGAAGUGAAUAAGAAGGAGGAGGAAUCCAAUUAUCCUAUAUCUGUAGAUUGUAUGCCUAAAAUGUAGAUACUACUAUUUGAACUCACUUUCCUGUGAAUUUAUUUUCAGGAUCAGUAAAUUUGGCUUAGGACUUGAAAAAAGUUAAAAGAAAAUGUGAAAAUUAUAUAAAGCAGCAGGAUAAUAUCAGAGUUGUAAUUUAAUAUUAAAAUUUUAAGAAGAAGUGAUUACAUUUUAAUGGCAAUGUAUGUCUUUUCAUAAUAAACCAAAUGGUUGUUUAUGAUAAGAUUUCAGAAAUUGUUAGAAAAAUAAACAUUUUGGUGCACUGGGCAAAGUAUACUGUCUUCAUAGUAAUAUUGUAAAAUGUCUCUGCAUUUCUCUAACAACCAGAGUAAACAAAUCAAUCAGUACUUUUGAAUAAAGUGGCUCGUAGAAAGUAAAAUAAGCCAU